GUUGAGUCUUUGCUAUCUCAUGGUCUCUUUUCAUAGUGCUUGAAAGAUUUCAUGUGGUUUAUUAAGUUGUCACAAGUUCAGGGACUUGUUUCAAUGCUUUUAACAUUCCCUAUGUUACCCACAUAGCUGCUUAUCUAAUCGGAUGAUUCUAGUCAUGUCUUCAUCUUCAGAGGAUAUCCCCCUUCUUGCCAUCCCCCUUCUUGCCAUUGCUGUUGUUCAUUAGGAAUGUAGAACAACUCAUGUCUUUUUGUGUAUUUCAGAUAUGUAAGUAUUGGAUUUCUUCUCCUUAAGACUUCAGAGGUAUUUAGAUGCAGUGUUUUAGAGACAGCUGGUGAAGCAGUGAAGAGAACAAUGGGUGUAGAAUCAAAAAACCCGAGAUGUUUACUAGAUAUAUGACCCAUGGCUUUCUAUCAAACAAUUCAUCUUGUCCUCUGUCAGAAGUCUGCCAGCCCUGUAGAACUUAAAUUGCAUUGAUGCCAAGGUUUGCUCAGUGUGAGCUGCCUUCUGUAUUCUCACUGCCUGCCUUCAGUCUGUGCCUGAUCUAACCAUCCCCACCACGAGCAAAAACAGACCUUUUCUGGCGAAUUUCGAGGAUAUCUUCUGUUGGCAAUUAUUUGUGUUUUUUUUCAGUCAAGCACUAAUUCCUAAUCCUUGUCAUGAAAUAAAGAAUUCUCAGAGCAAAGACGGAGUUUAAAUAGGUGUGUGUGUGUCCUCUCUGCCAUCUGUGUCCUGGAUAUUUUAAGAAAGAUUUGUAUCAUAUUUAUUAAACAAUGAGACCAUAAUGCACUUAAUAAAUAUUAAAUAAUUUGCUGAAUGAGUUUUGAAAUAACCAUUUUUAGAGAAUUUGCAGUUAACCAGAAAGCUAACAAACUUCUUUUAGAACUCCCCUGCAUUACUAAGCAGUAGAACCUUUUGAUACAACAUCUUAUCUAAAUAGAUGUUCAGCAUAAAUGAUUUUGCUCUUAAAACCAUCACAGGGGUAGCUCGGUGGCGCAGUGGAUAGAGCCCUAGCCUUGAAGUUAGAACUUAACACUUACUAGCUGUGUUACCCUGGGCAAGUCAUUUAACCUCAAUUGCCUGGGGGGGAGGGGGAAGGGAGAAAAAAAAAAAAGAAAGUAAAACAACCACAGACUUGAAAAAUUAAAAAAAAAAAUUCAGUUGUUAACAAGGUGUAAACAUAGGCUAUUCCUUUAAACAAUAUUAGCAGUUUAAAGUUAAAGAAAUUUCAUUUAACAAGCAGGGGGA